CCAAGAUGCAUUCAUUCUCUUUCAAUCCCAGGAACACAGAGCUGGAAGAGGGCUCCCAGGCUGAAGUUUGGUUCCUUGUGUUUGCGGAACAGCACCAAGAUCCAGGUCUACAAUGCAGUCAUCAUCCCCACUGUCCUUUAUGGAUGCCAAACAAGGGUGACCUACCACUGUCAUCUUAAGAGCCUGGAGAGAUAUCACCAAUGAGGCCUUUGUACAAUCCUUUGCUUCAAAUGGGAGGCUUGCCACACGAACACUAGGAUCCUUGCUGAAGCCAAUAUUACCAGCACUGAAUCACUGAACCUCAAACACCAAUUUUGCUGGACUGGACAUUGUGUGUGGAUGCCCAACUCAAUUCCGAAAACAAGUACCCUAUUCCCAGAUUAGUUGCGGCCUGAGAUCUCACAGCAGAAGAGGAAAUGUUACAAGGACACAUUGAAGGCAUAUCUCAGGAAAACAGACACUGAUGUCAAGAACUGGGAGCAGCUGGCUAUUAAUCAACUCCAAUGGCACUUCAACCUCAGUCAAGUGGCAGCCUGCUUUCAGGUAAAGCAUCUCACCCUCAAAGCAGAAAAGAGUGAGCAGAAGAAGGAAAAGAGGAGAAAUCAUAGCCCACAGCCUACUCUCCCCUGCAGAAAGACUUUCAAUUUCUGUGGGCAGAUCUGAAGCUCAAGGAUUGAGCUCUUAAAUCACCUCAAAACAAAUCAAAGAACCAUGGUAGAGAUUAUCCUCAAAUUGGGGGACUAUUAUCACCACCACCAAAAUACAGCCAAAACUGAGUCAGGGAUAUAAUGUAUACAUGUAUGUAGUUCAUAAUGCACUUGAAAUCCUACUCGAUGAAAGGCAACACUGAAUUUACAAUUUGUAUGUUUUAAGAUUAUGUUAUCAUUGGGAAUAGCAUGGUUUCUUCUUCAAAAUGAGGGGUUAAAAUAGUUAAAUCCCUUUAUACAGAGACCAUAGCCACAAAUGUGUUAACAAAAAAAAUGAUAAUUUAACUUUAAGACACAUGAAAUAAGGAGCUCAUUUUUCUUUUCAUGCUAACACUAAUGGGAGCUAUACAGAUGCAUCAAAAGGAAAUUAUAACCUUGACUAUAUCUGUGCAUGACUCAGGUACUGUGCUUCUUCUCCAGAGGAAAAGCAAGCCAAUGACAUAUUCCGGCAGCACCGUCUGUCUCUCCACAAUGGAGCUGCACAGGCAACAGGCUUCUCUUGCCACUGCUUGCUACUCCAAUGACAAUGAAAAUGUAGAUGUAGAAACUAAAAUGGGUUAGUACCAUUACUGAGAGAAAAAGAGCCAUCAUGAAGCCUAAGGGGCUGAAAGUAUGGUGGGAGGGUAUAAGCUUUGCCCCAAUAUGACACCUUGGAAAAAUUAUCUACUAACAUUUCCAUUAAAUAUGCCAAUUUUUA